AUACGAAGGGUGCUAGCGUUGUUCGGAAUUACUGGGCGUAAAGCGUACGUAGGCGGUCUGCCAAGUCAGAGGUGAAAGCCCAGGGCUCAACCCUGGAACUGCCUUUGAGACUGGGAGACUAGAGUAUGGGAGAGGUUGGUGGAAUUCCAAGUGGAGAGGUGAAAUUCGUAGAUAUUUGGAAGAACACCGGUGGCGAAGGCGGCCAACUGGAACAUUACUGACGCUGAGGUACGAAAGCGUGGGGAGC
rnacentral:rRNA from 1 species